UACAGAGGUCUCGAGCGUUAGGCGGAAUCACUGGGCUUAAAGCGUGUGUAGGCGGGUCGUUAAGUGCCUUGUGAAAUCCCAUGGCUCAACCAUGAAACUGCUGGGCAUACUGGCGAUCUUGUGCCACCUAGGGGCGAGCGGAACAGAUGGUGGAGCGGUGAAAUGCGUAGAUAUCAUCUGGAACGCCAAUGGUGAAAACAGCUCGCUGGGGGUGUGCAGACGCUGAGACACGAAAGCCAGGGGAGCGAACGGG
rnacentral:rRNA from 1 species